rnacentral:lncRNA from 1 species
GGACUUGCCUUCUUUAGAGCUCCUGCUGCCUCAUGAGGCAAGAAGUCUACGGAAAAAGGAUUGGGAAGAGGCGGAGAAAAGAGAGAAAGAGGAUUCAGGGUUCAGAAGCUCCAGCCACCACCCCAGGGUGUAAAGAAUCAGGGUGGGCCGGGUGCAGUGGCUCAUGCCUGCAAUCCCAGCACUUUGGGAGGCCAAGGUGGGAGGAUCACUUGAGUCCAAGAGUUUGAGGCCAGCCUGGGCAGCAUAGUGAGACCCUGUCUGUACAAAAAAAUACAAAAAUUGGCCAGGAAUGGCAGGCACCUGUAGCUACUCCAGAGAUUGAGGUGGGAGGAUUGCUUGAGCCCAGGAAGUUAAGGC